GUUUCCGUAGUGUAGUGGUUAUCGCGUUUGCCAAACACGUGACAGGUCCUUGGCUCGAUGCCGAGCGGAAAUG